CCCCGGCGCAAAUCGCGCCAAGGAUAUUAAACAAUGAGAUUGCUCCUCUUGCUCCCGUUCGCGGGCUGUGAUUCGGGAUGGCAUCUUACAUAUAACAAAAUGACUCUCGGCAACGGAUAUCUAGGCUCUCGCAUCGAUGAAGAACGUAGCAAAAUGCGAUACUUGGUGUGAAUUGCAGAAUCCCGUGAACCAUCGAGUUUUUGAACGCAAGUUGCGCCCGAAGCCAUUAGGUCGAGGGCACGUCUGCCUGGGCGUCUCAUAAAGCGACGUUCCCUCACUAUCCUUUGUAUUUUGUGAGGGACGGAUGUUGGCUCCCCGUGCUCAUUUGUGUGCGGUCAGCCUAAAAGUGAGUCCCGACGAUAAGCGUUGCGGCAAUUGGUGGUUGACAAACCGUUUCAUUUUGUCGUGUGCGCCUUGUCUCAAUCGGUGACUCUUCGACCCUAAAGCUCCAUUUGAUUGGUGCCUCGAUCGC
rnacentral:misc_RNA from 1 species